CCUACGGGAGGCAGCAGUGAGGAAUAUUGGACAAUGGAGGCAACUCUGAUCCAGCCAUGCCGCGUGCAGGAAGACGGCCCUACGGGUUGUAAACUGCUUUUAUACAGGAAGAACUAUAUCUACGUGUAGAUAUUUGACGGUACUGUACGAAUAAGGACCGGCUAAUUCCGUGCCAGCAGCCGCGGUAAU
rnacentral:rRNA from 1 species